GUGAGGAAUAUUGCGCAAUGGAGGCAACUCUGACGCAGCCAUGCCGCGUGCAGGAAGAAGGCGCUACGCGUUGUAAACUGCUUUUAACCGGGAAGAAACCCCAGGACGUGUCCUGGGUUGACGGUACCGGAGGAAUAAGCACCGGCUAACUUCGUGCCAGCAGCCGCGGUAAUACGAAGGGUGCAAGCGUUAUCCGGAUGCAUUGGGUUUAAAGGGUGCGUAGGAGGAGCGUUAAGUCAGUGGUGAAAUCCUGCAGCUUAACUGUGGACUGGCCAUUGAUACUGGCGCUCUUGAGUGCGCUUGAAGUGGGCGGAAUGUGCCGUGUAGCGGUGAAAUGCUUAGAUAUGGCACAGAACACCAAUUGCGAAGGCAGCUCACUAAGGCGAUACUGACGCUGAGGCACGAAAGCGUGGGGAUCGAACAGGAUUAGAAACCCCGGUAGUCC
rnacentral:rRNA from 1 species